rnacentral:rRNA from 1 species
AUUGAACGCUGGCGGCAUGCCUUACACAUGCAAGUCGAACGGCAGCGGACCUUCGGGUGCCGGCGAGUGGCGAACGGGUGAGUAAUGCAUCGGAACGUGCCAUUGAGUGGGGGAUAACGUAGCGAAAGUUGCGCUAAUACCGCAUAUUCUGUGCGCAGGAAAGCAGGGGACCGCAAGGCCUUGCGCUCUUUGAGCGGCCGAUGUCAGAUUAGCUAGUUGGUGAGGUAACGGCUUACCAAGGCGACGAUCUGUAGCGGGUCUGAGAGGAUGAUCCGCCACACUGGAACUGAGACACGGUCCAGACUCCUACGGGAGGCAGCAGUGAGGAAUAUUGCGCAAUGGGGGCAACCCUGACGCAGCAACGCCGCGUGAGUGAGGAAGGUUUUCGGACCGUAAAGCUCUGUCGAGUGGGAAGAAAUGUAUUGUGGCUAAUAUCCAUGAUAUUUGACGGU